rnacentral:rRNA from 1 species
UGUGACGGCCAUAGCGGCGGGGAUACACCCGGUCCCAUUCGAACCCGGAAGUUAAGCCCGCCAACGUUCCACGCUGUACUGCGGUGCGCGAGCCCGCGGGAACCGUGGAGCGCUGUCAGCC